rnacentral:rRNA from 1 species
CUUGGUCAUUUAGAGGAAGUAAAAGUCGUAACAAGGUCUCCGUUGGUGAACCAGCGGGGGGAUCAUUACUGAGUUUACGCUCUAUAACCCUUUGUGAACAUACCAAUAACUGUUGCUUCGGCGGGUAGGGUCUCCGCGACCCUCCCGGCCUCCCGCCUCCGGGCGGGUCGGCGCUCGCCGGAGGAUAACCAAACUCUGAUUUAACGACGUUUCUUCUGAGUGGUACAAGCAAAUAAUCAAAACUUUUAACAACGGAUCUCUUGGUUCUGGCAUCGAUGAAGAACGCAGCGAAAUGCGAUAAGUAAUGUGAAUUGCAGAACUCAGUGAAUCAUCGAAUCUUUGAACGCACAUUGCGCCCGCCAGCAUUCUGGCGGGCAUGCCUGUUCGAGCGUCAUUUCAACCCUCAAGCUCUGCUUGGUGUUGGGGCCCUACAGCUGAUGUAGGCCCUCAAAGGUAGUGGCGGACCCUCCCGGAGCCUCCUUUGCGUAGUAACUUUACGUCUCGCACUGGGAUCCGGAGGGACUCUUGCCGUAAAACCCCCCAAUUUUCCAAAGGUUGACCUCGGAUCAGGUAGGAAUACCCGCUGAACUUAAGCAUAUCAAUAAGCGGAGGA